CCUACGGGUGGCUGCAGUGGGGAAUAUUGGACAAUGGGCGAAAGCCUGAUCCAGCCAUGCCGCGUGUGUGAAGAAGGCCUUCGGGUUGUAAAGCACUUUCAGUGGGGAAGAAAGCCUUGGGGCUAAUACCCUCGAGGAAGGACAUCACCCACAGAAGAAGCACCGGCUAACUCCGUGCCAGCAGCCGCGGUAAUACGGAGGGUGCGAGCGUUAAUCGGAAUUACUGGGCGUAAAGCGCGCGUAGGCGGUCUGAUAAGCCGGUUGUGAAAGCCCCGGGCUCAACCUGGGAACGGCAUCCGGAACUGUCAGGCUAGAGUGCAGGAGAGGAAGGUAAAAUUCCCGGUGUAGCGGUGAAAUGCGUAGAGAUCGGGAGGAAUACCAGUGGCGAAGGCGGCCUUCUGGACUGACACUGACGCUGAGGUGCGAAAGCGUGGGUAGCAAACAGGAUUAGAUACCCCGGUAGUC
rnacentral:rRNA from 1 species